rnacentral:lncRNA from 1 species
UAAUUCACAUUCACUGGCUUAAGAGCUAAUGAAUGCGGAGUGACAGUUGGUCCUGACUCUAACAAGUAAGUAAACCACCUUUGAAUGCUCGUGCAUUCAUAGAAGAUAAAUCAGUAAAUCAGGACAGGAACAGUCUCCGGCAGUCAGGUACAAGCAAGUAAGAGAAGAAGGUAAAGGCCUGACUCCGUUCCUGAAGAAGGAAUGGCGGGGCGAAAGAGCUACCUGGAAGCUAGUUACGGUUGUGCAAAGAAUAUGAAGGAAACUGGUACCCUAUUAGUUCAGUCAGUCAGUGACAAGUGAGAAGAAGGAUAUCCGGUUCCAAAGACUCAUCACAAAUAUC